rnacentral:rRNA from 1 species
UAUGGCUCAGGAUGAACGCUGGCGGCGUGCCUAACACAUGCAAGUCGAGCGAGCGAGAGAUGUAACCUAGUGAUUCUCGAGCGAGUGGCGGACGGGUGAGUAACGCGUGGGUAACCUGCCUUACAGAGGGGGGAUAACAGUCUGAAAAGACUGCUAAUACCGCAUAAGCACACAGUACCGCAUGGUACAGGGUGAAAAGAUUUAUCACUGUAAGAUGGACCCGCGUCUGAUUAGCCAGUUGGCAGGGUAACGGCCUACCAAAGCGACGAUCAGUAGCCGACCUGAGAGGGUGAUCGGCCACAUUGGGACUGAGACACGGCCCAAACUCCUACGGGAGGCAGCAGUGGGGGAUAUUGCACAAUGGAGGGAACUCUGAUGCAAGCGACGCCGCGUGAGUGAAGAAGUAUUUCGGUAUGUAAAGCUCUAUCAGCAGGGAAGAUAAUGACAGUACCUGACCAAGAAGCCCCGGCUAACUACGUGCCAGCCGCCGC